AUUGAUAGCCGUACAAGAACGCUCGAUAGACGCCAACACCCCGUACGCAGGGACGUGUCAAAUGGAAAACAAACAACCGUGCAGCAGUCGUCGGAACAGUGGGCGAGAUUUGCUGUUGAAAAAUAACACACGAAAGGGAUUUAAAACUUGUGUAGUGAACAACUGUAGAAGCACUUUUGAAACCGAAAUUCUUCGCGACAAAAUUGUUGGAGUGGAGCUUUUGCCACAGGUUGGAUAAGAACAUUUUGAUAGGAUGAUUCUGGAGGAUGUUGGACCGCUUCGCAGACCAUGGUGUCAUAUCGAAAAUACGCCGAAAUUCUCCUGAGAUGUUCGAAUUGAGCUUUGGCGUCAUUGCUUGCCUCUGCGAAACCAGUGGACGCUAUUUCUGCUUCCUGUGACGAGACGCAUUUCGCCCAACACCCUCACCAAUGCAUUGCAACAACAACAACGUUUACGGGAAGGAAGGCGAGGUCGAAGGGCGAGGGCAAAGAAUAAUGCAGGGUUUUCCAAGUCACGUUCGAAUGUAAACAUUGUGUUUCACCGCGUGCAAGAUGCCAAUCCCCAUCACUACGAUGUUUCAUUUCCAUCAUCAUACAAGGUUUUUCGAGUCAAUUUCUAAUGUCAAUAGUAUUUUUUCAUUUACAGGGUUUUUCAAGUCAGUUUCGAACGUAAACGUUGUUAUUCACCGCGUUCAGCAUGUAAAUCCACAGCAAUCUGACAUUUCAUUUCUAUCACAAUAAUUUUCAAUUUCUUCAGCAUGAUU